UUCAGGGGUAAACCUGAGAAACCCGAAAGGUCGAAAGGGGAGAUUCAGCGUGUCUCGAUCGUAGCGCUGGAUGGUCGUGCGACGGACGGCGUACGCGUCGUCCGCGCCUUUCGUCCUCCGAACUGCGGUCGAACGCGUGCACUUCUCCCCCUGUAGGACGUCGCGAUUCGUUGGGUGUCGGCCUAAGGCCCGAGGUGGAGUUCGUCCGGACGUUUCGGCGUUCGUGACGAACCCUCGGUGUUUCCCGGUCGGCUCGCUCGACGAUAUACAGAUGGCGCGGGGCCGCUACUUAGUUAGCGUUCGACCUUCGGCAAGCGCGCUCUUCGCGACGGUGAUCGGACCUAGUGCCGGUCCUGUCCUUGGGCGACUGUUGGCCGAGGUGUUCUCGAACAGACCUCGUUGAAACGCCGAUCUGCGACGCUAUAGCUUUGGGUACUUUCAGGACCCGUCUU
rnacentral:rRNA from 1 species